GACGAACCGUCCUAACGUUAUUCGGAAUCACUGGGCUUAAAGGGCGCGUAGGCGGAUGAGCAAGUCCGGAGUGAAAUCUUUCGGCUUAACCGGAAAAGUGCUUUGGAUACUGCUCAUCUUGAGGGAGGUAGGGGCAUGUGGAACUUCUGGUGGAGCGGUGAAAUGCGCAGAUAUCUGGGGGAAGGCCGGCGGCGAAGGCGCCUAUCUGGGAGAUACCUGACACUGAGGCGCGAAAGCGUGGGGAGCAAACAGG
rnacentral:rRNA from 1 species